AAAGUAGAGGCCCGAAAAGAGCCCAAUACCCAAAGGAAUCCACCCAAGCCGAUGGUGGUUUUAGCCACGGGUCUCAGUCUCACUCCCAGAUUCUACUCCCGCUCCUCCAUCGUCGUCGCCGCGAGUUUGCUCCUCUCGGCGGCGCCCUCCUCGUCGUCCCCGCGCGCUCGUGCCGCUGCUCCGGCCAGCGGGUACUCCCCGUGGCGAGGCAGCAUUAGUAGAAUAUCAUCGCACCCAACAGCUAUGGCUACCACACAAGCCUCAGAAGCAGCCACUGAGAAAGGAUUGCCUUUGGGGAUGGAUGUCUCCAUGGUGGAUGAAUAUGCUUCCCAGUCCAAGCUGCUGCAGGAAUUCGUUAAAAUUCCCACUAUUGGCAACGCUUGGAUCUUCAAUUCCAAGACUGAAAACACAUCUAGGGCGAUAGUUUCUGUUGGCCAAACAGAUCUGUUGGCAAACAAAAAGAGGAGCUUCCUAUUAAAUUCCCACAUCUCAAAAAAUUCCUCAAAUUCUGUGGAUUUCCAGUGGUCUCCCUUCCCAAUCGAAAUGAGUGGAGUUUCAGCAGUAAUUCCAUCGCCAUCUGGGAGAAAACUUUUACUAAUACGGAAUUCUGAGGAUGAUUCCCCUACAAAACUAGAAGUUUGGGGCCCCUGUCAGUUGGAGAACGAGAUUCACAUUGCACAAUCUGUUCAUGGAUCACUCUAUGUCGACGAAUGGUUUGAAGGGAUAUCGUGGAAUCAAGAAGAGACUUUAGUAGCUUACGUUGCUGAGGAGCCUCCUCAACCGAAGCCAGAAUUCAAUGAUUCAGGAUACAAGAAGGCUGGCUCGUCUGAAAAAGACUGCAAGAGCUGGAAGGGAAAAGGGGAUUGGGAAGAAACUUGGGGAGAAACGUAUUCCAAGAAAAGGAUACCUGCAUUGUUCGUGGUCAACAUUUCAAGCGGUGAAGUGCGAGCUGUGAAGGGCAUACCGAGAACAUUAAGUGUUGGCCAAGUGAUUUGGGCUCCAUCAUCAUCACAUAGCCUGGUUUUUGUGGCGUGGUCAUCUGAUAAUGGUUACCAAAAGACACCAAGGAAACUUGGAAUUAAAUACUGCUUUAACAGACCUUGUGCUCUGUAUGCUGUUCCUGAUCCUUUCAUGGAAGAAGCUGAUAAGCCAUCACUUAAUGUCAGUAAGGGUGAAACUGCACCUACAACCAAGUUAACAUCAGAGUUGAGCAGUGCUUUUUUCCCACGAUUCAGUCCAGAUGGAAAGUAUCUUGUGUUUAUCUCAGCAAAGAGUGCUAUAGAUAGUGGAACACACAAUGCGACAAAUUCAAUGCAUAAGAUUGACUGGCCUGCAGAUGGGAAAUUGGAGGGCCUCAGUGUUGCUGAUGUGGUACCUAUUGUGAUGUGCCCUCAGGAUGGUUGUUUUCCUGGUCUGUACUGCUCUGGCAUACUUAGGAAUCCAUGGCUUACUGAUGGACAAACUAUGAUUUUAUCUUCUAUUUGGGGAAGUAAGGAAGUAAUACUUUCUGUAAAUGUUGUGAGCCGUGAAGUUUCAAGAGUUAGUCCUCAGGAUUCGGAUUAUUCAUGGAAUGUUCUUGCACUAGACAAGGAUAAUAUUCUUGCAGUUUCAAGCAGCCUUAUUACAGUUCCUCAAAUAUACUAUGGGUCUGAGGUUUGUCAGACUGGAAAACCAAACCAAUGGGAGUGGCAAGAAAUUGCAACUCCUUUUCCGAGUCCUUCUGAUAAGAUCAGUGCAAUAUUAGCAGACCAUAAGUUCAGUAUACUCAAAAUCCCGAUUAGCAACUCUUCUAACAAACUCGCUGAUGGUGCUAAGCUGCCCUUUGAGGCUAUUUUUGUGUCCUGGAAGGAUUCUGCAACAAGACCAACAAUUGUUGUUCUUCAUGGUGGACCACACACUGUUUACCCAUCAAGCUAUUCAAAAUCGUUAGCAUUUCUUUAUUCACAGGGAUAUAACCUUCUUGUUGUGAACUAUAGAGGUUCACUAGGCUUUGGUGAAGAAGCACUACAAUCUCUUCCUGGAAAUAUUGGUUCUCAGGAUGUGAAUGAUGUAUUGACGGCUUUGGACUUUGUUAUAAAGAAAGGAUUAAUAGAUGCAUCUAAAGUAGCUGUUGUUGGAGGUUCACACGGUGGUUUCCUGACAACUCAUUUGAUUGGCCAGGCUCCAGGCACUUUUGUUGCAGCAGCUGCUCGAAACCCAGUAUGUAAUUUAUCAUUGAUGGUAGGAACAACUGACAUACCUGAGUGGUGUUUUGUGGAGAUUUAUGGGAAAGAAGGGAAAAACUGCUUCUCAGAGUAUCCUUCAUUUGAUGAUCUUUGUCAAUUUCACCAGAAAUCACCAAUAUCACAUAUAUCAAAGUUUAAGAAAAUCUGCAGGUGAGCACGCCAACACUUUUUCUCCUUGGAGCACAAGAUCUCAGAGUUCCUGUUUCUAAUGGCUUACAGUAUGCAAGGACCUUGAAGGAGAUGGGAGUUGAAACCAAAAUUAUUGUCUUUCCAGAAGAUAUGCAUGGCCUUGACAAGCCACAGUCUGAUUUUGAAAGCUUCCUCAAUAUAGGUGUUUGGUUCAAGAAGCACAUGAGCAAAUAAACAACAUGCCUCUGUUACCACACUCUCACCUUGCUUAAUAAAUGCUUGUAAUUUGGGUCAAAGCAGCCCAAGGAAACGUGGUUCUGUUGGCAUUCUAAUAAAUUAAGCCUGCUGUAACAUUUCUGUACUGGGAUAAUUCUUGAAAAUGUAAAUGCAUUUGGUUAUAAAAUUUUACCCUCGUGGUACGGAACUAUGGAUUACAAAUAUGUGAUGUUAGAUUAUGCUUUACUUUGAA